rnacentral:rRNA from 1 species
AUUGAACGCUGGCGGCAGGCCUAACACAUGCAAGUCGAACGAGUGGCGGACGGGUGAGUAAUGUUUGGGAAACUGCCUGAUGGAGGGGGAUAACUACGGGAAACGGUAGCUAAUACCGCAUACCAUAAGAUGAGCCCAAGUGGGAGUAGCUAGUUGGUGGGGUAAUGGCUCACCAAGGCGACGAUCCCUAGCUGGUCUGAGAGGAUGAUCAGUCACUCGGUAACUGUGACACGGUCCGGAUUCCUACGGGAGGCAGCAUGGGGAAAUAUUGGACAAUGGGGGAAACCCUGAUCCAGCCAUGCCGCGUGUAUGAAGAAGGUCUUCGGAUUGUAAAGCUCUUUUAGUGAGGAGGCGUUACCAACAGAAUAAGCACCGGCUAACUUCGUGCCAGCAGCCGCGGUAAUAC